UCUGCUGUGAAAGCUUGUGCUAUGCAGGUGUCAGUUUCUCUUGCUAAAACGGGCAAUUUAAAAGAUCAUCAUGAUGCACUUGUAGAAUUAGUUGCUUCUUCGGAAUAUGGAAUCCUUCAUUUGUUUAGUCAUCACCAGUUACAGGAAUUUUUAUUAAUUGAAAGGGAAUGCUCAUUACACGUAAUG